CUGAAAACAAAUACUUCAUAUCUGAAUUCCUCGAUCUUUAUGCAACUUUGCCAUUUUACUUCUGAUAAUGGGAGAACAAUUGAAAGACAUUGCUGUAGUUCUUCUCAUGUUUGUCUGUUUGCUUGUCUCUUGCUGCUAGAAUUGCAAUCAGUAUUCCAAGAUCUGCAGCUUCAGGAAAAAUGUCAGCUGGAUUUCACAGAUGCAGUGUUUGUGGGUGUACAUGAUGCUGUGCCUCCAAGGGGGUUUUCCAUGCCAACGGAACUGAUGUGGCUGUCAUCCAGGUUCCAUUCGAAGACCCCAUUGUUCCAAGAACUCUCCGGAAUUCGACCCAGCGACCUUUCAAUUACUGGCUCAAUGCUCUAACUGCUAGGCUACCUUACGCCACUACUGCCUGGUCAUGGCUCGGUUCAAUGACAUUUCCUUCAAAAGGCACCUGCACAGAGGGCAUCAGCUUUCAGCGGGGCAUCCAACCGUUCAACUACAUGUGGGAGGUUGGUGUCGGACCUGACCUGGCUAUGCAUCCUAGGUACAUUAUGCUCUAUGAAAACCAGUGACCAUGGACGUUUCUCUCCACCACCAGAUACAUCUGAGAGGUCAGCCAAGACGCUGGAAGUUCAGCAUGCCUCUACCAAACGCUGCCUCGUCACAACUACUGAGCUGAUCUGCGAGACUAGUGUCUUCCACAGAAGGGGUGAAGACUGACAACAAACUUGACUCUGGCCAUCAUUGGUGCAGAACCUCCCUCCUGGACUCCACCUGCAGGCCCCAAGAGACUGUUGACACCCACCAGGGUUCUAACUUUGGACUCUACACCUAUGGACUACCAGUGGUGAAUGGGAUCGUGUUCUACAAGCAAUAUUCACCCGAAGACAGGCUUGUCAUCAGACAUCUUAUAGGUAUGGCUCUACAUUUCGUAACGCCUCUGCGUAACGUGCACACUAUCGGAUUUGUCAAAAGAAACAUUGGAUAUCUGGUCCUAAAGGGGCUGCGCUACUAAGCAGUGUCCCACUCAACCCAUUGUAUGCUGAUGGGAUAUUUAAUUUACUUUCUGAAUGACAAAAUGUAAUGUGACUAACUGGUUAAUGAGUGCUUUUGACUAGAACAAUCUUAAUGUGCUUUUGAAGUUUGGACUUUCAAUCUCAGGAUCUUUGAGGGAGACUCAGUCACACACUCGCUGACCAGGUUCCAAUAAACUGAGUCUUCAGUAAACAGCUGGGUUCCAAAUGACCUGAUGGAAUUACCUUUUUCUUCAGUUUAGCUUUGCCAGAGGCUAGACUCCCAUUGUGAUUCCUCGGACUCUGACGAUGACAGAGACUACAAAGUAUCCUGUUACAACAAUCUACUAAAUGAAUUUGGGUCCCCUGGCCACACCCAGCAAUUUAAACUAGCAUUGAAUCAAUACUUUCAUGUUAUUACUCUAUUUAAAAUGAAUAAAUUGUUGGCUCUUGUAGACUUCCUCCAGUAUCUUUGUUUUUAAGCUUGAUAUAUUGCUCUUAACUGCAGACUUCAAGGAGGGUGUCUGAUGGACUUAGUGAUGUGCAAAUUCCAUGUUUUGUGCAGCUGUAUAAAGAUAACAGUGGGACUGCCUGUGUAAACGCAGCCAAUUAUUUUUCCAGUAGUUGAUUGUCUCCAAUAGGGUAAAAGAUAAUGACUGCCUGUGUAAAUGCAGCCUUUGCUCAGGGGUAUACAACUCAUACCCUACAAGGUCCAGCGCCUGCUGGUUUUGCUCUGCUAAUGACCUUGUGUUCCAGGUCUAAAAUCGGUCCCAAAAAUUCCAGUCCUGAAUUUGCAUCCAGGAAUGUGUUUACUUGUGGUGAGCCCUUUUCUCUAGGCUUAAAAUUAGCUGUUAAAUGGGGCAGAGAUUACAUGACUGCUACUUGGACACUUCAAAUAGUGUUACCCAACAUUAUAGCAAAACCCUUAGCAUGCUCAUUGUGACAUAAAAAUAACCUGUCAUUCUUCUUUAGCAAACAUGUUUAGUUAUGCAGUCGACUCAGCAAUACAUUACCUCAUGCUUGUAAUUGAAAGGCGCAAUCUGCAGUUGCUUUUGGGGCCUUUAUGCCCAUUUUAUAUACAGUGGAUUUGAAAGUAUUCAUAGAUUUGCCCCUGGUGGGAUAUACAAUGAACUCUUCACCAUUAAAGCCUUUUUUCCCCUUAUCAGGAUGCCUACACCACAGUAGGUAGCAUCAUAGAUUUAAAGAGCUGGGUUGAAGUGGCCUAACAGACAAGGUUCAUUUAAACGUCAUGUGGGCAUUCAGUAUGUCAGACUCUUACUAAACUAGUUUGACGUUCAAGUGUAAAAUUAAAUUGCAUGAGCAGUUUUCAAGCACGUUGUGCUGUGAUUCCCCCAGAUAGCAAUUAACUACAUUGGUGACAGCUGUCUCAAAUCAAUUGCUAAACAUGCCCCAUGCUUUAAAACUUGAGUGUCCAUGUGUUUAUCCGACUAGAUAAAAAUACUAAACAGCCUACCCGACCGAGGCGUCUGCAGGGUCCUUAAGCGCGCACACACACCUGUGUCUGUCAACCCGUCCCAAUCCCUCAGAUCCUCCACUCUCACCAAUAACCACCAUUGAAUCUUCGCUAGAAUGACAAGGAAUAAUGACUAGGCAUCCUUUCCUAAUCUAUCCAGAACUCAAUGUCACAGCAGGUUUGCAAGUCCAAAAUAAAAUUACGUAGUAUGGUUGAAUCCAUCCUUCCCAAGUCUAAACCAUCCCUCACCAAGCUUGUCCCAACCUUACGUAUCCACUUAGUCAUUCUCUCCCAACAUACCUUAUGCACCCACAGCCACUCCUACACCUGUAUUCCCCAUCCUAUUCUGAUACACACAAUUUGACAUGCAUGCAAUAUGUUUCCCUUUGAAAUUUAUUUCAGUGUCCAUGUAGCCCAUUGUCAUCGGCUACUUCUACUGAUAAAUCAGUUAUUUGGGGAAAGUAGAG
ensembl:lncRNA